rnacentral:misc_RNA from 1 species
CAACACGUCGCACCCAAUGCCUUUGCACUCACAACGGGUGCCUCGGUCGUCGGGGCGGAGAUUGGCCUCCCGUGUGCCUGUCGGCGCGCGGUUGGCCUAAAGAGGGAGAUCAUGGCGACGAGGGCCACGGCGUUAGGUGGUUGGUUGUCCCGGGCUUUAUCCCGGGCGCGGAUCACGCCGUGUGCCUUAGGCCGUCCGUGCUUCUCGUAGGGCCUUGAAGAAGCCGCUCGUACGGCUUUACGGAU